rnacentral:rRNA from 1 species
UACAUGGGGUGCAAACGUUGCUCGGAAUCAUUGGGCGUAAAGCGCGCGUAGGCGGUUAUUUAAGUUGGAUGUGAAAGCCCUCGGCUUAACUGAGGAAGUGCAUCCAAAACUGAAUAGCUAGAGUACGAAAGAGGGUCGCGGAAUUCCCGGUGUAGAGGUGAAAUUCGUAGAUAUCGGGAGGAACACCGGUGGCGAAGGCGGCGACCUGGGUCGAGACUGACGCUGAGGAGCGAAAGCCAGGGGAGCAAACGGG